rnacentral:rRNA from 1 species
UACGUAGGGGGCAAGCGUUGUCCGGAUUUAUUGGGCGUAAAGAGCGUGUAGGCGGCCCGACAGGUCCGUUGUGAAAACUCGAGGCUCAACCUCGAGACGUCGAUGGAAACCGUCGGGCUAGAGUCCGGAAGAGGAGAGCGGAAUUCCUGGUGUAGCGGUGAAAUGCGCAGAUAUCAGGAGGAACACCGAUGGCGAAGGCAGUGUUCUGGGCCAGUACUGACGCUGAGGAGCGAAAGCGUGGGGAGCAAACAGG